ensembl:lncRNA
GUUCUGUUCUGUCUGCUUGGAUUCAAGAGAUUAGUGGCCUAUGGUUGCCUUAAUCUUUCGCAGGCUGUUAUGUUCUUUUGUUAAAGUAUUUGCAAUUUUGAUGGUAUAAUAUAGUUUUGAUAAAUAUAAACUCAGCAAAAAAAGAAACGUCCUCUCACUGUCAACUGCGUUUAUUAAAGGCAAACUUAACAUCUCAAUGGACCUCCUCUUGAUCUUUCUCCUCUGGAAAGGCCAUGCAGCAGAGUAUAGGUAUUCAGACCUUCCUGGGUAAUGGACAGACCAUCUUUUCCAGAAUACAUUGGCAUGGGAUCCGGCGGUCCUUUCUUUGAAGGACUUCAAUGAAAGAUGGCCAACCCUGUUUGAACCCACUCGGGUACAAAAUACAGCCGAAGGAAAAUAGUCAAUAUUAAGGACGAGUUCAGAAGAAUUACAACUGUUUCUCUUGAGUCCACCUUUAUGCAGAAGCUGGACGAAUAUACACCAACAUGUUUUGACUUGUUUAAGUCAAAAGGAGGUGCUAUAAAGGCGGUUUGUAACAGUAUAGACUGAUGAUAAAUGAUAACAUUUAUUUUAUUAAAAUAAAGAUGUGGAAGUUUGAAGUUGAA